rnacentral:rRNA from 1 species
UCGAGGAUCUUCGGCAAUGGGCGCAAGCCUGACCGAGCGACGCCGCGUGGAGGAUGAAGGCCUUCGGGUUGUAAACUCCUGUCGAGGGGGAGGAAGGCCGGCGCAAGCCGGCUUGACCUAGCCCUGGAGGAAGCACGGGCUAAGUUCGUGCCAGCAGCCGCGGUAAGACGAACCGUGCGAACGUUGUUCGGAAUCACUGGGCUUAAAGGGCGCGUAGGCGGCGGUGCCAGUCUCGGGUGAAAUCGUUCGGCUUAACCGGACCAGGGCCCGGGAUACUGCACCGCUCGAGGGGGCAAGGGGCGGACGGAACUUCCGGUGGAGCGGUGAAAUGCGUUGAUAUCGGAAGGAACGCCGGUGGCGAAAGCGGUCCGCUGGGUCCCUACUGACGCUGAGGCGCGAAAGCCAGGGGAGCGAACGGGAUUAGAUACCCCCGUAGUCC